UACGUAGGGCGCAAGCGUUAUCCGGAAUUAUUGGGCGUAAAGGGCUCGUAGGCGGUUUGUUGCGUCUGCCGUGAAAGUCCGGGGCUCAACUCCGGAUCUGCGGUGGGUACGGGCAGACUAGAGUGAUGUAGGGGAGACUGGAAUUCCUGGUGUAGCGGUGAAAUGCGCAGAUAUCAGGAGGAACACCGAUGGCGAAGGCAGGUCUCUGGGCAUUAACUGACGCUGAGGAGCGAAAGCAUGGGGAGCGAACAGG
rnacentral:rRNA from 1 species